GUUGUCUCUACAGCCAAUCAACUUGCCUCUGAGUCAACCAAUCACAGAACCUAACCCUGAAACAACAGAGACAAGCGACUUGCCUCUGAUUCAACCAAUAACAGAACCUGAAACAACAGAGACAAGCAACUUGCCUCUGAGUCAACCAAUCACAGAACCUGAAACAACAAAUGAU